rnacentral:lncRNA from 1 species
UUCUGAUACCAAAUGUUAGCUUUUUGUUUAUGAAAGAGCAAAAAUCAGCACAAUAACUUUAAGAACAGAGGAAAAAUAGCAAUGGACUUGAAGAAUAGAGAAAAUGCAAAAUAGAACAGAGAGAUAAAAAAAACCAACUAAAGAGGAGAAUUAUUUUCUGACUUCAUUUCAUCUGAUUUACAUAUUACAUAGACUCUUUUUUAAAAUAGAAAAUAGAAGUUCACGAAAGGGUGAAUUCAGAGUACAUUAGCUAUCUACAGUAGAUUAAAGUAGAUGGCCUAAUCUAGGAGUUUUAGAUAAAAGCUUCACUUCCAAUGAAUCUUUCUCCAGGGACAUUUAAUAAACUCGUCCAAUCAAGACUACAUUCUUAGCACACAUUUCAAUAUGACUUGGAUAUUCUUUAGAGUUAUUGCACAUUUUGCCUUUAAGAAAAGCUCAUGUAUAUUGCAGAUGUGAUCAUUGUAAGACAAAAUGCAAAACAAUUAAAAAAAAUUAUUAGAAAUAGAAGAUUGAUAAGACGACGUAAUAAUAUUAUAAUUUUGAUAUAUAUCUAUACGAAAGGCCUAGAACCCAAACAGAUGAAACUAAGGGCCUGUUCGGUAGUGAUUUUGAGAAUCAAUUUUUUGACUCUUAGAGGAAAAAAGUGGGCUCUACUUGUCAGUGAAGAAAUCAAAAUUGACGACUGAUUUAGGGAAGUAAUGGUUAAAAAUUUAAUUUUUCUAGUGAAAAAUUAGAAUCAAACGGGGGCUAAAUUCCCUAAAAAAAUGAUUAGGGAA